rnacentral:rRNA from 1 species
GACAGAGGUGCCGAGCGUUAGGCGGAAUCACUGGGCUUAAAGCGUGUGUAGGCGGAUCUGUAAGUACCUUGUGAAAUCCCACGGCUCAACCGUGGAACUGCUUGGUAUACUGCGGGUCUUGAGCCACCUAGGAGCAAGUGGAACAAACGGUGGAGCGGUGAAAUGCGUAGAUAUCGUUUGGAACGCCAAUGGUGAAAACAACUUGCUGGGGGUGUGCUGACGCUGAGACACGAAAGCCAGGGGAGCAAACGGG